rnacentral:rRNA from 1 species
CAGCCGCCGCGGGAAUACGGAGGGUGCGAGCGUUAAUCGGAAUUACUGGGCGUAAAGCGUACGCAGGCGGUUUGUUAAGUCAGAUGUGAAAUCCCCGGGCUUAACCCGGGAACUGCAUUUGAGACUGGCAGGCUAGAGUCUCGUAGAGGGGGGUAGAAUUCCAGGUGUAGCGGUGAAAUGCGUAGAGAUCUGGAGGAAUACCGGUGGCGAAGGCGGCCCUCUGGACGAAGACUGACGCUCAGGUACGAAAGCGUGGGGAGCAAACAGGAUUAGAUACCCGCGUAGUCCCUGUCUCUUAUAC